UACGGGGGGGGCAAGCGUUGUUCGGAAUUACUGGGCGUAAAGGGCUCGUAGGGGGCCAACUAAGUCUUACGUGAAAUCCCUCGGCUUAACCGGGGAACUGCGUCUGAUACUGGAUGGCUUGAGGUUGGGAGAGGGAUGCGGAAUUCCAGGUGUAGCGGUGAAAUGCGUAGAUAUCAGGAGGAACACCUGCGGUGUAGACGGCUUACUGGACCAUAACUGACGCUGAGGCACGAAAGCGUGGGUAGCAAACAGG
rnacentral:rRNA from 1 species